AUAUUUACCUGGCAGGGGAAAUACUAUUAUCAGUGGCUUAAAAAAAAAAAAAAAAAAAAAAGAAGAAGUUUUCCUAGGAUGACACUUGUCUUUUGUGCUCUGGUUAUGCUGACUCCUAUGAUUUCCCCGAAUGUGGGAAACUUAACUGCAUAAUUUGUGGUAGUGGGGGGCUGCAUUUGUGCUUCCCCUUG
rfam:Alligator mississippiensis ScZkoYb_10, whole genome shotgun sequence.